rnacentral:rRNA from 1 species
AGCGAACGCUGGCGGCAGGCUUAACACAUGCAAGUCGAACGGACCCUUCGGGGUUAGUGGCGGACGGGUGAGUAACACGUGGGAACGUGCCUUUAGGUUCGGAACAACACAGGGAAACUUGUGCUAAUACCGGAUGUGCCCUUCGGGGAAGGAUUUAUCGCCUUUAGUAGCGGCCCGCGUCUGAUUAGCUUGUUGGUGGGGUAAAGGACUCACCAAGGCUACGAUCAGUAGCUGGUCUGAGAGGAUGGCCAGCCACAUU